UCUGACGGAGCAACGCCGCGUGAGUGAUGAAGGUUUUCGGAUCGUAAAGCUCUGUUGUUAGGGAAGAACAAGUGCGAGAGUAACUGCUCGCACCUUGACGGUACCUAACCAGAAAGCCACGGCUAACUACGUGCCAGCAGCCGCGGUAAUACGUAGGUGGCAAGCGUUGUCCGGAAUUAUUGGGCGUAAAGGGCUCGCAGGCGGUUUCUUAAGUCUGAUGUGAAAGCCCCCGGCUCAACCGGGGAGGGUCAUUGGAAACUGGGAAACUUGAGUGCAGAAGAGGAGAGUGGAAUUCCACGUGUAGCGGUGAAAUGCGUAGAGAUGUGGAGGAACACCAGUGGCGAAGGCGACUCUCUGGUCUGUAACUGACGCUGAGGAGCGAAAGCGUGGGGAGCGAACAGGAUUAGAUACCCUGGUAGUCCACGCCGUAAACGAUGAGUGCUAAGUGUUAGGGGGUUUCCGCCCCUUAGUGCUGCAGCUAACGCAUUAAGCACUCCGCCUGGGGAGUACGGUCGCAAGACUGAAACUCAAAGGAAUUGACGGGGGCCCGCACAAGCGGUGGAGCAUGUGGUUUAAUUCGAAGCAACGCGAAGAACCUUACCAGGUCUUGACAUCCUCUGACAACCCUAGAGAUAGGGCUUUCCCUUCGGGGACAGAGUGACAGGUGGUGCAUGGUUGUCGUCAGCUCGUGUCGUGAGAUGUUGGGUUAAGUCCCGCAACGAGCGCAACCCUUGAUCUUAGUUGCCAGCAUUCAGUUGGGCACUCUAAGGUGACUGCCGGUGACAAACCGGAGGAAGGUGGGGAUGACGUCAAAUCAUCAUGCCCCUUAUGACCUGGGCUACACACGUGCUACAAUGGACAGAACAAAGGGCUGCAAGACCGCAAGGUUUAGCCAAUCCCAUAAAUCUGUUCUCAGUUCGGAUCGCAGUCUGCAACUCGACUGCGUGAAGCUGGAAUCGCUAGUAAUCGCGGAUCAGCAUGCCGCGGUGAAUACGUUCCCGGGCCUUGUACACACCGCCCGUCACACCACGAGAGUUUGCAACACCCGAAGUCGGUGAGGUAACCUUUAUGGAGCCAGUCGCCGAAGUGGGGCAGAUGAUUGGGGUGAAGUCGUACAAGGGUAACCG
rnacentral:rRNA from 1 species